UUGAAGCUGAUGCGUUAAGUAGUAUUCAUUUAGUGCGUUACAGUUGACGAAUCGCAUACUGUCCUUUCAACCGGAGAUGAGCGUGAUGCACCCCCUUUUUACGCACAAAGAAGGAAUUUCCUCUCUUUUCAAAAGGAAAGAAUUGUUAAAUGAUGGAACCUAGGUUCUAGCUUCUUUCACAUCUCUCCUAGCAAUUCUUGCUGGACUGCAACAGUGACUAGAAGGCAGGGAAAGAAAACAAGAUGACUGAAAGCAAGAAGUGGCAGAGGAUAUUUAAUCUUAAUAUAACAAUGUAUGAACGUUAUUAUGAGAGAUCCAAAAAGCAAUGUUAAGAAAGAUACAGCGAAACAAAGAUCACUGAAGCAAUCAUUUCUUCUCAUUUCUCAUUUUCUCAAAAUAGGAAUGCUCUUUUUUUUUUUUUCAAAUCUGGGAGAUGCUGACAUAAGAACUGGACUAUCCUGAGUUUUUCCUGAGAUCUCAGUAUUGGGUCUUACAGGGAAGCUACAAGUUUUGACCAGAUGACUACACAGUGGCUUUUUAAGACGAUUCUUAUUCAGUGCUGAGAAGGAAUGAUAAAUCCACAGAAAUUUCAGGAGAUGGAAUUAAACAGGAGAAGAAUAAAAUCCAGGAGAAAUCCAAGUGUAAAUUUAAUUCCAGAGUUAACCGGCCCUCAUACCAACAAGGUCAUGAUAGAUAUAAACUAGUUCUCAGACUAUUUACCCAGGUGUCUUUAGUUUGUUGCAGAAAUUGAAAGGUAACCACGGAGACCCAGAAUUCAAGAAAUCUGACAACAGUAUCUAAGUGUGUCCAGAAGAGGGAGCAUAAUAGUUUUGCUGGUCAGGUAUCAGAGUUUAGGUAUCAGGGCUGGACACAUAAUGUGAUUUAGAGACGACCGCUGGACUAGAGCUAUUACCGACUGGAUUCCACGGGACGUCAAAAGACCGAGUGGCCGCCCACCUACAAGAUGGUCAGAUUUCUUUGUCAAAACCCUGAACAAACGGUUUGAGGCUCUUCAUGUUCCUGGAGCGAGCAGAUACAAUUGGGCUACUCUAGCAUGUGAGAGGGACGAAUGGAGAUGUUACUGGUGCCCGCCCCGCUCGAGCAAAUCGAAGAUCAGUGGGAUUAAACGUGAUACAAGUGAUACAAGACGUUACUCCUGGCUCUGCACUCAGGAAUUACUCCUGGCAGUGUUCGGAGGACCAUAUGGAAUGCUGGGAAUCAAAUUCAGGUUGGCCACGUGCAAGCAUUUGAAAUCAAGAUGAACAGUUUCCAGAUUUCCAGACUGGCAAAUUUCUCAAGGUUGAAACCACAUUUUGCGGCUUCUUCUCUCAGAGAUAUUUUUCCUCAAUUUUUGCCCUGAUAAUUUGUUUAUUUAUUCAUUCAUUUAUUUUUGGCUUUUGGGGUCACACCCAAAAAACUCAGGGGUUACUCCUGGCUCUGCACUCAGGAAUUACUCUGGCAGUGCUUAGGGAACCUUAUA